GACGAACGCGGCGGCGUGCCUAAUACAUGCAAGUAGAACGCUGAAGGAGGAGCUUGCUUCUCCGGCUGAGUUGCGAACGGGUGAGUAACGCGUAGGUAACCUGCCUGGUAGCGGGGGAUAACUAUUGGAAACGAUAGCUAAUACCGCAUAACAGUAGAUAUUGCAUGAUAUCUGCUUGAAAGGUGCAAUUGCAUCACUACCAGAUGGACCUGCGUUGUAUUAGCUAGUUGGUGGGGUAACGGCUCACCAAGGCGACGAUACAUAGCCGACCUGAGAGGGUGAUCGGCCACACUGGGACUGAGACACGGCCCAGACUCCUACGGGAGGCAGCAGUAGGGAAUCUUCGGCAAUGGACGGAAGUCUGACCGAGCAACGCCGCGUGAGUGAAGAAGGUUUUCGGAUCGUAAAGCUCUGUUGUAAGAGAAGAACGAGUGUGAGAGUGGAAAGUUCACACUG
rnacentral:rRNA from 1 species